rnacentral:lncRNA from 1 species
UGCACUUUGGAACUGUUCCCAUCUCCAGAUACAAUUAGAGGAAAGCACUGACCCCAUCCCAAGUCAAGCCUUGAGCCUGCAGAUUCCUGAUGGUAGGAGUGAGGGUCCUGCCCUCAGGACCCGCUGGAGGGUAGAACAGCCAACCUGUGAGAAGCACCAAUACCCUGAGGCCAUUAUGAGGAAGUUCACACCACAGAGAGAGACCCUGAGUAGAUGUGCUGAUUUACAGUUCCAGCUGAAUGCAGCCUUUGAAUCACCCCAGCCCAGGUGCCAAACAUGUGAGAGAAGAAGCUUCCAGAUCAUUCCAGUCCCCAGCCAUCUGAGUCAACUUCAGCCUUUGUGUCUGCCCAGUGAAUGCCUCAGACAUCAUGAAGCAGAAGCAAGUCAUCCUUACUGUGCUCUGUCUGAAUUCCUGACUCACACAAUUAAUGAGCAUAAUAAAAUGAUUGUUGUUUUAUACUCCUGUGUUCUGGGGCAUUUGUUGUGCAGCAAAAAAG